rnacentral:rRNA from 1 species
CCUACGGGUGGCAGCAGUGAGGAAUAUUGGUCAAUGGACGAGAGUCUGAACCAGCCAAGUAGCGUGAAGGAUGACUGCCCUAUGGGUUGUAAACUUCUUUUAUAUGGGAAUAAAAUGUUCCACGUGUGGGAUUUUGUAUGUACCAUAUGAAUAAGGAUCGGCUAACUCCGUGCCAGCAGCCGCGGUAAUACGGAGGAUCCGAGCGUUAUCCGGAUUUAUUGGGUUUAAAGGGAGCGUAGGUGGAUUGUUAAGUCAGUUGUGAAAGUUUGCGGCUCAACCGUAAAAUUGCAGUUGAAACUGGCAGUCGUGAGUACAGUAGAGGUGGGCGGAAUUCGUGGUGGAGCGGUGAAAUGCUUAGAUAUCACGAAGAACUCCGAUUGCGAAGGCAGCUCACUGGACUGCAACUGACACUGAGGCUCGAAAGUGUGGGUAUCAAACAGGAUUAGAUAUCCCGGUAGGC